UUGUUGUUCCCAUGAUUGGCUGCUAUUUAUAGUAUACGUGUCAGUGAUGCAGCGCAGUAGAUCUAUUGAGCUUGAUUGAGUUUCACAGGUUCCAAAAAUGGAUCGCUCCACGAAUGUUUCCAUUUUGCUGCUCUCAAUUCUCGUGCUUUGGGAGUGUUACACGUCAUCCCCUAGUCUGGAUCAUAUCUUCCCUUACAUUAGAGUUUCUAACACUUACAGCGAUGUCUAUAUCUCUCUCUCCAAAGUCAUGGCUAUGUUUUUGGCACCUAUAGUUGUUAUACUAUGCUAUUGUCUCUUCUGGAAGAUUGCAAAUGGCUGCGUGUCUCUGAUUGAGAAUUUGGCACUGUUGAGCUGUGCUUGUGUGCUGUGCAGUGGUAGUGGACUACAUAUUGCAUGUGUUACGGCUGAAACUAAUAUUCGUGAUUUGGGAUUGACAGCUGUAGAAUCAUUGAGUGCUCUACUUGACUUUAUUCAUGAGUAUUGGUCGCACAAUUCCAUGUUGUUUGGGUUUUUUGGAAUGAUGCUAUUCAUAACUUGGAAAGAAACAGUUUAUGUAUCGAUUGCAAACUCUGACAAAAAGGACAACGAUGAUGCACAUGAAAAUGCACAUGAAAAUACAACUGAAAGGGGUGGCUACAAUAAAAGUUCUUUGAAACAAAGAAAAUUACAAAAUUCACGAUCUGAUAGUGAGCCAUCCCAUAAUAGUGUGAAUCCCAUUAACAGGCCUAGGCAACUAGGUCUCUUAUAUGGACUCUAUAAUAAUGUGGUGAUACAAUGGAUACUGCCACUGCAAGCUGGACUGUUUUUAUCAGUGUUUUCACGUCGAACCAGUACCGAAAUCAUCACCACUUGUUUCUACGUUGGAAUUCUCGUUAUAAUGACUCUAGCCCGAUCAAAACAUUCUCUUAUGCGAGUGUUUAGAAGCUCGGAGCUCACUGUAUUGAGUGUGAUGGUCAAGAUUGCUUUAGUUGGUCUGCUCACAUUGUGUAUAGAAAUGCUAGGUGUUGCCAACUUGAACUAAAGGCUAAUAAUUUAGAAAUGCUAGGUGUUGCCAACUUGAACUAAAGGCUAAUAAUUAUAUGCUAGUAUGUAACCAAAGAGCCGUAUAUAUAUAAUACUGUACAACAGUGAGUAUUGAUUUUGUUACAGAUAAUAAUUAUACAUGUUUAUUGUUGCAAUGACGUGUCAGUUAAUGUUCA